rnacentral:rRNA from 1 species
UACACUUUAAAUCCUUUAACGAGGAUCUAUUGGAGGGCAAGUCUGGUGCCAGCAGCCGCGGUAAUUCCAGCUCCAAUAGCGUAUAUUAUUAUUGUUGCGGUUAAAAAGCUCGUAGUUGGAUCUCGGUUUCGGGCGAGCGGUGUACCUUGCGGUAUUUACUGUUUGCCCGGACGAUUUUGUUGGUUCGUUUAUGGUUCUCUUAACCGAGUGCCAUAAGUGGCCAGCACGUUUACUUUGAAAAAAUUGGAGUGCUCAAAGCAGGCGCUACAGCCUGAACAUUAGUGCAUGGAAUAAUGGAAUAGGAUCUCGGUUCUAUUUCGUUGGCUUUCGGAGUCGAGGUAAUGAUUAAUAGGGACAGACGGGGGCAUUCGUACUGCGACGUUAGAGGUGAAAUUCUUGGAUCGUCGCAAGACGAACUACUGCGAAAGCAUUUGCCAAGAAUGUAUUCAUUAAUCAAGAACGAAAGUCAGAGGUUCGAAGGCGAUCAGAUACCGCCCUAGUUCUAACCAUAAACGAUGUCGACCGGCGAUCCGUUAUCGUUAACUGAAUGACUUAACGGGCAGCCUCCGGGAAACCAGAGUGUUUGGAUUCCGGGGGAAGUAUGGUUGCAAAGCUGAAACUUAAAAGAAUUGACGGAAGGGCACCACCAGGAGUGGAGCCUGCGGCUUAAUUUGACCCAACACGGGAAAUCUCACCAGGCCCGGACACCGGAAGGAUUGACAGAUUGAGAGCUCUUUCUUGAUUCGGUGGGUGGUGGUGCAUGGCCGUUCUUAGUUGGUGGAGCGAUUUGUCUGGUUAAUUCCGAUAACGAACGAGACUCUGGCCUACUAACUAGACGUUAGAUCCCUUUGUGGGUCUAUCGCAGCUUCUUAGAGGGACGGGCGGCGUUUAGCCGCACGAGAUUGAGCAAUAACAGGUCUGUGAUGCCCUUAGAUGUUCUGGGCUGCACGCGCGCUACACUGAAGGAAUCAGCGUGUGUUCCCUACCCGAAAGGGUUGGGAAACCCGUUGAACCUCCUUCGUGAUGGGGAUUGGGGAUUGCAAUUAUUCCCCAUGAACGAGGAAUUCCCAGUAGGCGCGAGUCAUAAGCUUGCGUCGAUUACGUCCCGGCCCUUUGUACACACCGCCCGUCGCUACUACCGAUCGAGUGAUUUAGUGAGGCCUUCGGACUGGUCUUCAGUAUGGCUUUCGGGUCGUGUUGGAGUACCGGAAAGAUGACCAAACUUGAUCACUUAGAGGAAGUAAAAGUC